UGGGGAAUAUUGGACAAUGGGCGCAAGCCUGAUCCAGCAAUGCCGCGUGUGUGAAGAAGGCCUUCGGGUUGUAAAGCACUUUUAUCAGGAGCGAAACGCUGUCGGCUAAUACCCGGCGGAACUGACGGUACCUGAGGAAUAAGCACCGGCUAACUUCGUGCCAGCAGCCGCGGUAAUACGAAGGGUGCAAGCGUUAAUCGGAAUUACUGGGCGUAAAGCGUGCGUAGGCGGUUUCUUAAGUCUGCUGUGAAAUCCCCGGGCUCAACCUGGGAAUGGCAGUGGAUACUGGGAGGCUAGAGUGUGUCAGAGGGUGGUGGAAUUCCCGGUGUAGCGGUGAAAUGCGUAGAGAUCGGGGGGAACAUCAGUGGCGAAGGCGGCCACCUGGGACAACACUGACGCUGAGGCACGAAAGCGUGGGGAGCAAACAGGAUUAGAUACCCUGGUAGUCCACGCCCUAAACGAUGCGAACUGGAUGUUGGUCUCAACUCGGAGAUCAGUGUCGAAGCUAACGCGUUAAGUUCGCCGCCUGGGGAGUACGGUCGCAAGACUGAAACUCAAAGGAAUUGACGGGGUCAUAGCUGUUUCCUG
rnacentral:rRNA from 1 species